ACAAUAUACAAGGUGCUGCAUGGUUGUCGUCAGCUCGUGCCGUGAGGCGUCGGGUUAAGUCCCAUAACGAGCGCAACCCCUAUCAUUAGUUGCCAUCAGGUCAAGCUGGGGACUCUAAUGAAACUGCCUACGCAAGUAGUGAGGAAGUGGGGAGUGACGUCAAAUCAGCACGCCCUUACGUCCAGGGCUACACACGUGCUACAAUGGCCGAUACAGAGGGCAGCUACCUGGUGACAGGAUGCAAAUCUCCAAAGUCGGUCUCAGUUCGGAUCGGAGUCUGCAACCCGACUCCGUGAAGUUGGAUUCGCUAGUAAUCGCGCAUCAGCCAUGGCGCGGUGAAUACGUUCCCGGGCCUU
rnacentral:rRNA from 1 species